ACUACCGAUACAGUCGGAUAGGUACUAG
rnacentral:sRNA from 1 species